AAUAGAUACCCUGGUAGUCCACGCCGUAAACGAUGUCGACUUGGAGGUUGUUCCCUUGAGGAGUGGCUUCCGGAGCUAACGCGUUAAGUCGACCGCCUGGGGAGUACGGCCGCAAGGUUAAAACUCAAAUGAAUUGACGGGGGCCCGCACAAGCGGUGGAGCAUGUGGUUUAAUUCGAUGCAACGCGAAGAACCUUACCUACCCUUGACAUCCAGAGAACUUAGCAGAGAUGCUUUGGUGCCUUCGGGAACUCUGAGACAGGUGCUGCAUGGCUGUCGUCAGCUCGUGUUGUGAAAUGUUGGGUUAAGUCCCGCAACGAGCGCAACCCUUAUCCUUUGUUGCCAGCGGCUAGGCCGGGAACUCAAAGGAGACUGCCAGUGAUAAACUGGAGGAAGGUGGGGAUGACGUCAAGUCAUCAUGGCCCUUACGAGUAGGGCUACACACGUGCUACAAUGGCGCAUACAAAAGAGAAACGACCUCGCGAGAGCAAGCGGACCUCAUAAAGUGCGUCGUAGUCCGGAUUGGAGUCUGCAAC
rnacentral:rRNA from 1 species